UCGUAACAAGGUUUCCGUAGGUGAACCUGCGGAAGGAUCAUUACCAUAACAACCAUUGCGUGAAGUGGGAAGGCUCGGGGUCAUCCCCCUGCCGAAUCCAGCCCCCGGGUCCGGGGGGAACGACGCUCGGGGACCACGGACGCCUGAUAACCGGUUUGACCCCGAAAAAGGGCGCAUGUUUCUCGACUCAGAGAGUUUUCUUCGUCUCUCGCCCCAGGUUACGGCCCAGGGCGAGUCGGGCUACGGUGUGCGGUGCUCCCGAAGCCCCAGCGCCGCGUCCCCCACCGCCGGGCGGCGGAUGCCCACAACCCCACACCCUCUGCGUACACAUCCCUGUUGCUUCCCCCGGGUCUCUCCCCGGGGGGAGGUCCCGGAGCAAACCAUGCUGUCCAACCAACCAGCGGCCCCCACCCGUCUGAAGGCCAUCGUGCCUAGGCAGAUGGAACGAGCGAGGAAGGGAACGGAAAUUGCAAAAACUUUCAACAACGGAUCUCUUGGUUCCCGCAUCGAUGAAGAACGCAGCGAAAUGCGAUAAGUAAUGUGAAUUGCAGAAUUCAGUGAAUCAUCGAAUCUUUGAACGCACAUUGCGCCCCCCGGCAUUCCGGGGGGCAUGCCUGUUCGAGCGUCUCCAGGACACACACAUCGCGCGGGCUAACGCGCGGUCGUGGCGGCGGUGGCGAUCCCCAGCCGGAGGCCACCCCGCUGGAAUACAUGGGCGGACGCCUGCCGCGUUGCCGAGCGUGAUAGGAACGCAUCGGCGCUCGCGAGCGGCGAGGCUGCCAGCCCUGGCCCGACCGUCGGGCGGGGAAGAGCGAAUGAUGGGAACUCCUCGAAUCACGUA
rnacentral:rRNA from 1 species